AAAGUAGUCUGAAUCAAGCCUAAGGUUUGCUCAAACUCAGUACAAUGAUAUAUGAGAUGAAGAAAAUAAGGAAAUAACUACACUAAUCAGGUGCAUAGAGACACUUGACCUGCUUGUAAACCUGUCAUCUUAGAUGAGACUUUGUUAAGAUGAAGACCUAUACUAACAACUAAUGAGAAGCUGAAUUAAAUAUGUGGACACUACCAAGCUAAUGAGGAGCGGUGGCGCGCAUGGAGAUGCUGGUUUGCUCACUACAAUUGUAUAAAUAGAGUUUGAAUUCAUUACUGUGGAUGUACAGUGAGUGACCUCUAUAUAUCUUGAAAAGCAUGUCUGAAAUACUCGUAUGAAAGCAUAUUUUGAGUGAUUCUAACUGUGUGAAUGCUGUGAGUAGUAGGUUUUGAGUGACUGGGUGUGAUUUGUACAAAAAUAAUAAAACAUAAGUAAUAAUAACACUACAAAGGUUCAUAGUGGACUGAGUGAACGAGUGGAAGUGUGUGCGAUGAUUCCUGAUGUCUGAAAGAGCUCAAUUUUAAAGUGUGUGUGAAAUAAAGGUGUAUCGUUUUUAGAUCAAGAUUUAGUAGAAUUAAAGAGGGUUUAUAGACUAGGAAUACAAAGAGAAACAAAAGAGUUCGAUUAGUCUGCAGAAACAGGAAAUAUGUGUGCCUGUGGAGUGUCAAGACAGCUCACAGAGAGAAACAGAACUCUAUGAAUAGACUCUAUGAAUAGAAUGAAUAGACAACACAUACUCAAAUUGUUAUAUGUGAAAUUAUCUUUGGAAAGGGUCAGAGGAGAUAAUUUGAACUUAGAACUCAGUGAUAUGGCUUAUGAAUUAAACCUUAUGGCAAUAAACACUUGCAAUGAAGAAAGCAGCUUACACUCAAUUAAUAUGAGCAUAAAGCCUUGUUGCCAUAGGCAAUUUGUUUUGUUUUUGUUUGUUUGUUUUGUAAGUUUGGAAACCAAAUUUGUGAUCAUACUUGUGGAUCACAGUGACAUAUAAUGAUUAGGCACAUGAUUUAACAAUGACGAGUUUUAGAGCUGUGAGCUAUGAGCUAUAAGCAAUGCAAAGUUUUUCCUAACUUAAAAGUUUGAAAUAUGUAAGAUGUAUGAAUUCUUUGAGAAAUAGGAAUUGCCUAAAAUGCCUUAAGUCAAAAUGUAGUGUUGCAUUUACAAAGAAGAAAGCGGAAGAAGCGUUCAGUAACUUAAGAAUAGCCUAGGACGAAACUGUGUAGGCUAUGCAGUAACCACAGCAGAUAGAGAAGCGAAACCGUUGACAUCCUCACACACGCAGGCCAAGAUAUAAAUAUAUACACUGACAGACAGUAUGUUUUUUCAGCUGUGCAACACUUUGAGAUCUUCUAAAGACACUGUCAAAACUGCCAAGACAGUUCAAAGGUCACUGAAGGCAAUAACUUUGCAGACCAAAGCCGCAAAAGCAGCAGCACAACAAACUAUAGACAUAUUAAUGUCUGACUCCUCAAUGCAAAUACCACUUGAUGUGCUUAUAAACGAACAGAAAGCUGCACCAACUACAGAACAAAGGAAAUGGUUAAAAGGUGGAGCACAGCCAGAAAGUGGUUUGAUGACUUGUUAUAGCAAACCAAUACUACCAAAGUCCCUACACAUAUCAGCAGCAUUAUUGUCAACAGGAGGAGGGUAGGAGUGGUAGAUAAAAUUUCGAAAUUUGUCGGAACAUGCAUGAUUUGCCAAAACAUAAUGCACAUAAUGCACACCACCUCAUCCUUUUCAUACAAUCCACAUGGGAUUUAUUGAGCUAAAUGAAUGCCAAGGCUCAGAAUACGCUCUAGUGAUCAUAGACGUGAUCUCAAAAUGGCCAGAAAUCUAUCCAGUAAAAAGGCAGACGCCAUCUCAGUAGCAAAUUGUUUGUCCAACCAUUUUAUUUCAAUAUAUGGCAUCCCCACUCUGAUAAGAUCAAUGGGACAAUGGGACACAUAUUGUUAAUGAAGUAAUCAGUAAGGUCACUGAGUAAAUGCCUGGAAGAAACAGGGAGACCAUGGCCUGAGUGUAUAGGCCUGGUAAAAAUGUGGAUGAGACUGACACAAAGUUCUCAGAAACUCACACCUUUUGAAAUCAUUCAAGGUAGACUAUUUCCACUACCAAUCACAAGUGAGCCUAUAGAUAAGUCAAUAAGAAAAACUACACUAGCCGAAUGGAUGACUAAAUUACUUGAAAAUAAAGAGAUUGUUCUAAACAACUCUCCAGUAUCUUGCAGGUUGAAACCAGGUGAUUGGAUCCUGAUCAAAGUGCUCCAAAGGAGAAAUUGGAGUUCACCAAGGUGGGAAGGUCCUUAUCAAAUGCUACUCACCACACCAACUGCCUGCAAAAUAGCAGAAAGACCGUCCUGGAUUCAUCGAAGCCACUGCAAAAGCGUGGUGACAACAUAGACUGAGAGGCGCAUGACACCCCUGCCUGUGGGUGAUCUAGGAAGGUGGAGAGAGGGCUGUUUGGGUAGAAUCCGCCCUGUUCUUCUCGCCCCUAGUCU
ensembl:rRNA Eukaryotic large subunit ribosomal RNA